rnacentral:rRNA from 1 species
GAUGAACGCUAGCGGGAGGCCUAACGCAUGCAAGCCGAGCGGUAGAGUUUCUUCGGAAACUUGAGAGCGGCGCACGGGUGCGUAACACGUGUGCAACCUACCUUUAUCUGGGGGAUAGCCUUUCGAAAGGAAGAUUAAUACCCCAUAAUAUAAUGAUUGGCAUCAAUUAUUAUUGAAAACUCCGGUGGAUAGAGAUGGGCACGCGCAAGAUUAGAUAGUUGGUGAGGUAACGGCUCACCAAGUCAAUGAUCUUUAGGGGUCCUGAGAGGGAGAUCCCCCACACUGGUACUGAGACACGGACCAGACUCCUACGGGAGGCAGCAGUGAGGAAUAUUGGACAAUGGGUGAGAGCCUGAUCCAGCCAUCCCGCGUGAAGGAUGACGGUCCUAUGGAUUGUAAACUUCUUUUGUACAGGGAUAAACCUACCCUCGUGAGGGUAGCUGAAGGUACUGUACGAAUAAGCACCGGCUAACUCCGUG